rnacentral:rRNA from 1 species
GAUGAACGCUAGCGAUAGGCCUAACACAUGCAAGUCGAGGGGCAGCAUAGAGUAGCAAUACUUUGAUGGCGACCGGCGCACGGGUGAGUAACACGUAUGCAACCUACCUACAUCAGGGGAAUAACCCGGAGAAAUUCGGACUAAUACCGCAUAAUACAGGGAUGCCGCAUGGCAAUAUUUGUUAAAGAUUUAUCGGAUGUAGAUGGGCAUGCGUUCCAUUAGCUGGUUGGUAAGGUAACGGCUUGCCAAGGCAACGAUGGAUAGGGGAACUGAGAGGUUUGUCCCCCACACUGGGACUGGGACACGGACCAGACUCCUACGGGAGGCAGCAGUGAGGAAUAUUGGUCAAUGGACGAGAGUCUGAACCAGCCAAAUCGCGUGAAGGAAGACUGCCCUACGGGUUGUAAACUUCUUUUGUACAGGAAUAAAAGACAUUACGUGUAAUGUAUUGCAUGUACUGUACGAAUAAGCAUCGGCUAACUCCGUGCCAGCCGCCGCGGUAA